AAACCAGCACCUCAAGUGGUCAGGAUGAUUAUUGGGCCUAAAGCAUCCGUAGCCUGUUCUGUAAGUUUUCGGUUAAAUCUGUACGCUCAACGUACAGGCUGCCGGGAAUACUGCAGAACUAGGGAGUGGGAGAGGUAGACGGUACUCGGGAGGAAGUGGUAAAAUGCUUUGAUCUCUCGAUGACCACCUGUGGCGAAGGCGGUCUACCAGAACACGUCCGACGGUGAGGGAUGAAAGCUAGGGGAGCAAACCGGAUUAGAAACCCCGGUAGUCC
rnacentral:rRNA from 1 species